rnacentral:rRNA from 1 species
UACAGAGGGUGCAAGCGUUAAUCGGAAUUACUGGGCGUAAAGCGCGCGUAGGCGGUUGUGUAAGUUGGAUGUGAAAUCCCCGGGCUUAACCUGGGCACUGCAUUCAAAACUGCACGGCUAGAGUAUUGGAGAGGAAGGUAGAAUUCCAGGUGUAGCGGUGAAAUGCGUAGAGAUCUGGAGGAAUACCGAUGGCGAAGGCAGCCUUCUGGCCAAAUACUGACGCUGAGGUGCGAAAGCAUGGGGAGCAAACAGGAUUAGAUACCCUGGUAGUCCAUGCCGUAAACGAUGUCAACUAGGUGUUGGGGAACUUGAUUCCUUAGUGCCGCAGCUAACGCAUUAAGUUGACCGCCUGGGGAGUACGGUCGCAAGACUAAA